AUGAUAAUUAGUUUAAGNCAAAAANCAAAUGAUUUCGACUCAUUAGAUUAUGAUUUAUCUCAUAAUUAUC
rnacentral:tRNA from 1 species